rnacentral:rRNA from 1 species
UACGUAGGGCCCGAGCGUUGUCCGGAUUCAUUGGGCGUAAAGAGCGUGUAGGCGGUCCGGUAAGUCAGCUGUGAAAGUCAAGGGCUCAACCCUUGAAUGCCGGUUGAUACUGUCGGGCUAGAGUCCGGAAGAGGCGAGUGGAAUUCCCGGUGUAGCGGUGAAAUGCGCAGAUAUCGGGAGGAACACCAAUGGCGAAGGCAGCUCGCUGGGACGGUACUGACGGUGAGACGCGAAAGCGUGGGGAGCAAACAGG